CCAGUUACGAGGAAGGAGUCCAGCAACCACACUUGCUGUUUAGAACAAGUGCUGGGGGCUGUCAGCUGCCCUGUCCCCAGCCCCAUCCUAGGGCACAGGAAGGGGCAAGGGUGCCGCACGGGUGCACCCCUCUCCACACCGGCCAGUGAACCCAGAAUGGCUCUGUGCCCCCCAAACCAGAUCCAGUCCCCAGAAGGGACAGCUCAUUCUCUUCACAAAGGAAUUCCCUACGACAAGGCCACAAGAGAUUGACUACCAUUUAGGAUGUGACCAGAUCUCAUACGUCGGCCUCCGUGACUCGUGUGCCACGCACCGGUUAAUUACAGAUGGGUCACACGGAGAAGGACGGUGCCACCCGAAGAGCAUGACACCAUCCCGAAAUCUUGAAGUCAUUUCUGCUUGAUUGAGAACCGCAUCAGGACCGUGAAUCAUACUCAGCUAAUUAGCCCCCACCAUGAAAUACUUUGCACGUCCCAGGUUCUCAUGGAGGAGCUGUUGCAUUUGGAAAAGUGAAGAGAAACCAGGGAUUAGAUUGGUUUCAAAGACUUCUUCUCCACGUGGGUUACCCCUGCUUCAGAGGCUCUUGUGACGCCCUCCUAUUACUUCACAUCCAGAUGGCCAUCACUGGGGAGGUGCGGCAACGUCACCUGCAGAAUCACUGUUUCUCUUGGUGGUUUCUCAUUCUCACGGCUGUGGAUCUGCCAGUUGUUUCUGAUGGUGUGGGCGCUGGUGCCCUUCAGAAAGGCCUCUCUGAUUGACAGGAAACUGAGUCACAGAGAAGUUAACUAUCUUUCCCAAAGUCACACGGAUUUGGAAGAUCUCCGGUUCAUUCAGCUGCACUUCUUGUCAUGGGAUAUGGCAGCGCGUCUCAAACUUGCCUGGGAACCGGACGCAGAGAAGCCAGGAGCCGGAGCCCAGAUUUGGGCACAACUUCUCCCUAGGGGUCUGCUUGUUCAGACGAGGCGUCGAGGCAACUGUCUGCACAGUCGUCAUCGUAACUAGAAAGUAGCGGGGGUACUGGAACAGCUUCGUUGCUUUAGAAUAGGCCGUCUCGCCGUUCAUCAUAUUUGAGACUUCUGUGAAACUACAUCGUGUGGAAGUUGGUGGCCUUUUGAGAAAAAUGUAAUGGUAUUCACAUUUCUUCCUAUACCACUCGGGGAUUUUAAACAAUGGAGCAAGAAAAGAAGGCCAAGACUGUCUUCUUACUUAACACGUACCUGCUUACUUUUCAAGAGCUUUAAAACAAAAACCAAAUCACCCCACUGGAAGCCGGCCCCGGGACCUUGGACUACUCAUUCAGUGUCGCUGGUGUCGGAGCCUCGAAGGUGGAGCACACACUCCAGGAGUCCUUGCAAAGAUGCCACCAGGGAGCUGGAGGAAACGUUAGAACCUUUAUUUACGUGUUUUCCCUCUAAAAUCAUGAAGAAAGCAGAUGGAGCCAAUGGCAAGCAUUCUCCCAGUAUCGGCCUAUGCGAAAUGACUUUAUGCUCACCGCUCAGUCAGCCCUGUUUCUUAUCUACACGAUGUGAAGGCAAGGACUCAAGAAAUGUUGGCUAACACCAUUGUUACUCCGAAGAAAAUUCUCAUGCAACUGGACAAAGAUAUGUGGAGAAGCUAUUUUGGUUGUAGGAAAAAUUGAAGGCCAUCGAAUUGUCCAUUGACAGGGGAACACCAGGGGUGUGAUUAUCCGAGCAGAGGAGACCUCUAGGAGAGCUGUGUUCCCAGAUGAGUCAGCUGUCGUCUCAGCCAUUACCUAAUGCUGAACUGGGACAGGUUUGGGAAGCUGAAGUCAGUGAAAAAGCCGAGACUCACAGGAAACUUCCUGGCUUGUUGUCAGCUUUCGAGGAGAGUGUCUUCAGUCUCUAUCUGGCAGAAACUUCUCAAUGCAUUAUUUUGAAAACUGAGAAAUAAAAGGAAAGAAGACAGUCCCUGCCUUCCUGAUAUGAACUAUAUCUCAAAGUGACUGAACAGUUGAUGGGGGCAAGUUUCUCUUUAGAGAAGCAUUUCACUAACAAGUGAGAAGGAAUGAUAGAAUUAACAGGCCGAUGGGUCUACACAAUGAUUAUCAGUGCUGCCAAGAUCACGAAAUAGGAGCCGUCAGCAUUGUGUGAUGGAAGUAUACCCUACCACUUACGACUUAAUCUUGACAAAAUAUGAACCCCAAUCUGAUUAAGCUUCUAAAUCUAACUAAUUUUUGGACAGGUAACUCCACAAGAAUGCAAUAAGGAAAACUCAG
ensembl:lncRNA